ensembl:lncRNA
CAGGUAUGUUUAGUGAUGUUGGCUGAGUGUUACUAGUGUGCUGUGUUUCAUGUUAGUAUUCUUGUUUAGAGCAUAGAUUUGGAUAAACCUUGCGGCUGGUGCUUGGUUGAUGUGGUCUCUCUCAACCGGUAAGUGAAACUACUGAAUGCAUUUUAUUAGUGCAAGCUUGAGUUUGUGACGAUCCAAUUUGUUUGUAGUCUAAAGCAAGCGGGAGGGAGACUGUAAUAGCCCAGACGUUCUGCCUUACGCUACAUAGUAGUUUUGCCCCAUUGUGUGCUGUAUUGCCAACCGAGUGAGCCCACGGGUGCACAGAAUGUUGCGUACCUGAUCGGUCGGGCUUUGAGAGAGCACACGGAUACGGUAGACUUGUUGCGUCUGCGGGCGAUUUUAACUCCUUACUGUGGGGGCUUCGUGGGAAGUAUCGUCCAGAGGCGCUGUUGCUUUGCCGGAGCUGAGUGCCGAAGGCGGGGUGGAUUUUGGUGGUGGUGCUACUUCACGAGUGCAGUGUGGAGUGGGUGUGUGUGUGUAUGUGUUUCCACACAGGUGUAACGAAAGUGUGCGGUGCUGUGGAGGCCUAUUAGUGCCCUUAUUCCCAGCUGUUACGCCUCGGCUCCUGCAUCCCCUUCAUACAGUUUUGUUGAGGGUAUUGGCCACCCAUAUCACAUUCAUUGAGCUAUUUAUUCUUUUCUUUUUUUUUUGUGAUUUGAUUUGUUGCAUUAAAUUUUAUUUUUAAUAAAAAUUUUUAAUUGUUU